rnacentral:rRNA from 1 species
GCCGCCGGGGAGGCCUUGCGCCCCCGGGCCCGCGCCCGCCGAAGACCCCAACAUGAACGCUGUUCUGAAAGUAUGCAGUCUGAGUUGAUUAUCGUAAUCAGUUAAAACUUUCAACAACGGAUCUCUUGGUUCCGGCAUCGAUGAAGAACGCAGCGAAAUGCGAUAAGUAAUGUGAAUUGCAGAAUUCAGUGAAUCAUCGAGUCUUUGAACGCACAUUGCGCCCCCUGGUAUUCCGGGGGGCAUGCCUGUCCGAGCGUCAUUGCUGCCCUCAAGCACGGCUUGUGUGUUGGGCCCCCGUCCCCCUCUCCCGGGGGACGGGCCCGAAAGGCAGCGGCGGCACCGCGUCCGGUCCUCGAGCGUAUGGGGCUUUGUCACCUGCUCUGUAGGCCCGGCCGGCGCCAGCCGACACCCAACUUUAUUUUUCUAAGGUUGACCUCGGAUCAGGUAGGG